rnacentral:misc_RNA from 1 species
UCUCCGUUGGUGAACCAGCGGAGGGAUCAUUAACGAGUUUUCUAAACUCCCAAAACCUUUGUGAAUUUACCACUUGUUGCCUCGACAGUUGAAAACUAUCCGGUUGUCUUUCACGAGACAGCUUGCCCUGCUAAGCACCUACCCUGUAGAGGCUUACCCGGCGACUCUGCGGAUAGUCUGUCGGUGGACUACUUUAAAACUCUUGUUUUUAUAAUGCCAAUCUGAAUUUUUAUACUUAAUAAGUUAAAACUUUCAACAACGGAUCUCUUGGUGCUGGCAUCGAUGAAGAACGCAGC